rnacentral:rRNA from 1 species
GCAGGCUGCAACUCGCCUGCAUGAAGCUGGAAUUGCUAGUAAUCGCGGAUCAGCAAGCCGCGGUGAAUACGUUCCCGGGCCUUGUACACACCGCCCGUCACACCAUGGGAGUCGGUAACACCCAAAGUUGGUAGUCUAACCGCAAGGAGGACGCCGCCUAAGGUGGGAUUGAUGACUGGGGUGAAGUCGUAACAAGGUACC